UAACGACUCUCGGCAACGGAUAUCUCGGCUCUCGCAUCGAUGAAGAACGUAGCGAAAUGCGAUACUUGGUGUGAAUUGCAGAAUCCCGUGAACCAUCGAGUCUUUGAACGCAAGUUGCGCCCGACGCCUUCUGGCCGAGGGCACGUCUGCCUGGGUGUCACGCAUCGUCGCCC
rnacentral:rRNA from 1 species